rnacentral:rRNA from 1 species
UAUCUCUGUAGAGUCUGCAUAUCAAUAAGCGGAGGAAAAGAAACUAACUAGGAUUCCCUUAGUAACGGCGAGUGAAGCGGGAAGAGCUCAAAUUUGAAAUCUUCAAGGUUUUACCUUGACGAAUUGUAGUUUAAAGAAGUGUUUUCUGUUGGUAGUUUUGGUAGAAGUUCUUUGGAAUAGGACAUCAUAGAGGGUGAGAAUCCCGUAUUUGACCAUUACUUCCAGCUUUGUGAUACACUUUCAAAGAGUCGGAUUGUUUGAGGAAUGCAGUCCUAAAAUGGGUGGUAAAUUUCAUCUAAAGCUAAAUACUGGCGAGAGACCGAUAGCGAACAAGUACCGUGAGGGAAAGAUGAAAAGAACUUUGAAAAGAGAGUUAAACAGUACGUGAAAUUGUCAAAAGGGAAGCGUUUGACACCAGUGUUGUUUUCUCGAAAAUCAAUUAAAAAAGGCAGGAUUUUGUGUUGUAUUGACUUUAUCAGCUUUCUGCACUCUUUUCUUGUCUUUUUUAAUGCACUUUUCGUUUAACAAGUCAACAUCAAUUUCUUUUGUUGUAAAAGGGUCAUUGGAAGGUGGCUUUCUUUUCGGAGAAAGUGUUUAUAGCCUUUGGCCUCUGCAAUCGGAGAGAUUGAGGUCUGCAGCGUAGAUCCUUCGGGGUUAGAUACAUUUGUGCUAAGUUAGUAGCCUUUCAUAGACAACUUGUUGACUAUGAUCAGUCAUGUAGCUUACUCGCUUAGUGCUAUUUUACCUACGCUUAGGAUGUUGAAGAUGUAGCACAUCAU